rnacentral:rRNA from 1 species
UACGUAGGGUGCGAGCGUUAAUCGGAAUGACUGGGCGUAAAGGGUGUGUAGGCUGUUUUAUAAGUCUGAUGUGAAAUCCCCGGGCUCAACCUGGGAAUGGCAGUGGAUACUGGACAGCUAGAGUGCGGUAGAGGGUAGUGGAAUUCCCGGUGUAGCAGUGAAAUGCGUAGAGAUGUGGAGGAACACCGAUGGCGAAGGCAGCCCCCCUGGGCUAACACUGACGCUCAUGCACGAAAGCGUGGGGAGCAAACAGG